rnacentral:lncRNA from 1 species
GUGUGUGGAGCAUUGGGGCUGCAGAAGCCAAGGAGCCCAGAUUUCCAGAUGGAUCUGGAGAGGGCGGAUUUGUCCUCCUGCCAUCAGGAAGAGUACGUGUGUGAGAUUGAGAGAUUCCUCAGCUCCAGUGUCAAACUGGUUAAGCCCACCUUUGCUUCAGUGUUUGCCUGCAUGGUCCCACAGGCUGGUGAAGCCAAUGGCUCUGGACCACCGAGAGGAGACUGUAUGGUCAGUGACGGAGGUCCUGGUCAGGCCACGGAAACCAGCUGACAAGUCCAUUGUGGAGACCAGCAGAGGGCGCACUGUCCUCAGCCCAUUGCUGACAGAGCGAGACGAGGUGAAACAGCUGAAGAGUGAUGUUCAUGAGAGUCAUGUGGCCGACCAGCGAGGACAAGCUGCCAAGUGGAGGCGGCGAGCCACAAAAUUGAAGGAGAACCGUAGCGAGAUGUCCCCCCACACGACACCCACUAGGAGGCGCUGCCUCAUCCUUUCUGAGGGCCACUUUUUCGAGUCGCCGAAGAGCAAGUUCUUUGAUGUACGUCACAACGCGGUGCACCUCAACCGCCCCCGGCAGUUCUUCGACAAUUCCAGCUUGGGGACCAUUCCCGACCUUGACACAACUGUGGAGGAGAAUGGCUCACCGUUGCCAUCUUCACCCAGACAGGACAACUGCAAAGCGCAAUGAGAACCGAGGUGCCCUUCCUGCCCCUUGUGUAUACAUAUUUUUAUGUACUUUUUAUAAAUUUUGUGUAUAAUAUCAGUGUAUAGCCUAAUUUCACAAUGUUUUAAAUGUCAAUUAAAAAAAAAAAACCAC